rnacentral:rRNA from 1 species
CACGGGCCCGACUCCUACGGGAGGCAGCAGUAAGGAAUAUUGGUCAAUGGACGCAAGUCUGAACCAGCCAUGCCGCGUGAAGGAUUAAGGUCCUCUGGAUUGUAAACUUCUUUUAUCUGGGACGAAAAAAGGCGAUUCUUCGUCACUUGACGGUACCAGAUGAAUAAGCACCGGCUAACUCCGUGCCAGCAGCCGCGGUAAUACGGAGGGUGCAAGCGUUAUCCGGAUUCACUGGGUUUAAAGGGUGCGUAGGCGGGCAGGUAAGACAGUGGCGAAAUCCUAGAGCUUAACUCUAGAACUGCCAUUGAUACUAUCUGUCUUGAAUAUUGUGGAGGUAAGCGGAAUAUGUCAUGU